UACAGAGGGUGCAAGCGUUGUUCGGAAUUAUUGGGCGUAAAGAGCUCGUAGGCGGUCUGUCGCGUCGGUCGUGAAAACUUGGGGCUUAACCCUGAGCUUGCGGUCGAUACGGGCAUGACUGGAGUUCGGCAGGGGAGACUGGAAUUCCUGGUGUAGCGGUGAAAUGCGCAGAUAUCAGGAGGAACACCGGUGGCGAAGGCGGGUCUCUGGGCCGAUACUGACGCUGAGGAGCGAAAGCUAGGGGAGCAAACAGG
rnacentral:rRNA from 1 species